rnacentral:rRNA from 1 species
AGUGAACGCUGGCGGUAGGCCUAACACAUGCAAGUCGAGCGGCCGCACAGUAAGAGCUUGCUCUUACGGGUGGCGAGUGGCGGGCGGGUGAGGCAUACAUCGCCAUCUACUUUUUCUUGGGGGAUUACGUAGAGACACUUCUGCUAAUACCGCAUACGUCCUACGGCUUGAUGCAGGAGAACUUCGCACCUUUCCUGACUGGUUGAGACGAUGCCGCAUUAGCUAGUUGGCUGGGUAAAGGCCCACCAAGGCAACGAUGCGUAGCUGGUCUGAGAGGAUGAUCGGCCACACUGGAACUGAGACACGGUCCAGACUCCUACGGGAGGCAGCAGUGGGGAAUAUUCGGCAAUGGGCGCAAGCCUGACGGAGCCACACCGCGUGGGUGAAGAAGGUCUUCGGGUUGUAAAGCUCUGUUAUUGGGAAAGAAAAGCAGCGGGUGAAAAUCCCGAUGUUUUGACGGUACCCAAACAGAAAGCACCGGCUAACUACGUG